CCGGCGACCGGCGCACGGGUGAGUAACACGUAUGCAACCUGCCCGUCUCAGGGGGAUAAUCGUCGGAAACGGCGUCUAAUACCCCGUAUGAAGCUGGACGGCAUCGUCUGGUUUUGAAAGAAUAUCGGAGACGGAUGGGCAUGCGGCGCAUUAGCUAGUUGGCGGGGUAACGGCCCACCGAGGCGACGAUGCGUAGGGGUUCUGAGAGGAAGGUCCCCCACACUGGUACUGAGACACGGACCAGACUCCUACGGAAGGCAGCAG
rnacentral:rRNA from 1 species